CGGGGUGCAGCAGGCGCGAAAACUUUACAAUGCUGGCAACAGCGAUAAGGGGACCUCGAGUGCCAGGAUACAAUCUUGGCUGUCGUGAUGCCUAAAAAGCAUUACAUAGCAAGGGCCGGGCAAGACCGGUGCCAGCCGCCGCGGUAACACCGGCGGCUCGAGUGGUAACCGCUAUUAUUGGGUCUAAAGGGUCUGUAGCCGGCCGGAUAAGUCUCUUGGGAAAUCCAGCAGCUCAACUGUUGGGCUUCCAGGGGAUACUGUUCGGCUCGAGGCCGGGAGAGGUGAGAGGUACUUCAGGGGUAGGGGUGAAAUCUUGUAAUCCUUGAAGGACCACCAGUGGCGAAGGCGUCUCACCAGAACGGUCCUGACGGCAAGGGACGAAAGCUAGGGGCACGAACCGGAUUAGAUACCCGGGUAGUCCUAGCCGUAAACGAUACUCGCUAGGUGUCAGCCACGGUGCGACCGUGGUUGGUGCCGUAGGGAAGCCGUGAAGCGAGCCACCUGGGAAGUACGGCCGCAAGGCUGAAACUUAAAGGAAUUGGCGGGGGAGCACAAGGGCGAUUCGCG
rnacentral:rRNA from 1 species